GUAUUUCUCUAGCUCAAACCUGGUCUGCCGAUGUGCCAUCGAGAAACAGGAGGAGCGUGCAGACUGUCUGCUCAUCUCAGAGCUCAACGACUGUAUCAAAGAGCCAUCAGCAUACAGCGAUCAAGGCUACAGUGCCAUUUUGUACCUCAAUGACAACUUUGAAGGGGGAGAUUUUAUCUUCACUGAGUCAGAUGCCAAAACUGUCUCUGU